AUAUCAGGAAGAGUGAAGGUCCCAGAACAGAUCCCUGAGGCACACCACUGAUCUCCGACCUCCAUGCAGAGUAUGACCCGUCUACAACCGAUGGAAACCCACUUCUAUGGGCAAGCCAGUUCUGGAUCCACAAAAUAUUCGUCUCUCUCCGAUCAAUUCCGACCGAGGGUAGAAGACCUUUGGGAACAAGACGAACGGGAGCCGGUGCCGAUAUCGUCUAAAGGUCCCCGAGUUGAAUUCGACCCUUCAAUCCAGGAUAAUCACGAAUUCCCUUCUCGACCUUUACCAGACCACCUGUUUGAGGAAACUUACAUCAUCAACCACAACAGAUCAAUCCCCGAAAGCAAAUUCUUCUGCCAACGUUGACCAGCAGGACAGCACUCGCCAGCGACCCUGUCUACCUGUGACUGCAAUUUCAUGGAAACGUGAAACUGGAUGCCGCGUCGCUUUGCACUGCUAUAAUUCCUAGAGUCGCUCCCGUUCACUGUGAAAGUCCUGCCGUGGUUUGUCGUCCUGAAAUAUGACUGCUGGCCCUUAACGAAUUCAGCUGAAUGUGGCUGCGACCGAAAAACCUCCUCAGUUGAUUAGGAUCCUCCUGUCAAUGAUAACUGUCCUCUCUGUUGCCAACGCCACCAACAUACUCUUUUCGGCAAGG